rnacentral:rRNA from 1 species
UACAGAGGUCCCAAGCGUUGUUCGGAUUCACUGGGCGUAAAGGGUGCGUAGGUGGCCAGGUAGUUUGAUGUGAAAGCUCGGAGCUUAACUCCGAAAUGGCAUUGAAUACUAUCUGGCUUGAGGGUCGGAGGGGAGACUGGAAUUCUCGGUGUAGCAGUGAAAUGCGUAGAUUAUCGAGAGGAACACCAGUGGCGAAGGCGAGUCUCUGGACGACAUCUGACACUGAGGCACGAAAGCUAGGGGAGCAAACAGG